rnacentral:rRNA from 1 species
UACGAAGGGGGGCUAGCGUUGUUCGGAAUCACUGGGCGUAAAGGGCGCGUAGGCGGCCGAUCAAGUCGGGGGUGAAAGCCUGUGGCUCAACCACAGAAUUGCCUUCGAUACUGGUUGGCUUGAGACCGGAAGAGGUAAGUGGAACUGCGAGUGUAGAGGUGAAAUUCGUAGAUAUUCGCAAGAACACCAGUGGCGAAGGGCGGCUUACUGG